CCAGCCCUAAAACGAUGCGCGUUAGGUGUAUCGGUGACCACGAGUCACCGAGGUGCCGAAGGGAAACCGUGAAACGUGCCGCCUGGGAAGUACGGUCGCAAGGCUGAAACUUAAAGGAAUUGGCGGGGGGAGCACCACAACGGGUGGAGCCUGCGGUUUAAUUGGACUCAACGCCGGGAAGCCUCACCGGAUAAGACAGCGGAAUGAUUGCCGGGCUGAAGACCCUGCAUGACCAGCUGAGAGGAGGUGCAUGGCGUAGUCGUGU
rnacentral:rRNA from 1 species